CUCUACCUGGCAGAAGUUGGAGUAUUCAACGUCGCCAGUUUUGUAGAAGCCCACUCGCACGUUUGGUGAGGUUGUGCGGUACGUGAGCGUCAGCCUCCAAAACGGGGGGGGCUCAGACACUCUGGACAACGGCCGGAACGCACUGCUGAAGCCUUCAUCCUUGUAUUGCAGGCUUCUUUUGCAGCCGGCUGCGUUCAUGCUUACUGCUGCUGCUGCGAGAUACCAACCGGCGGCGCAGUCCACAACCUGUCCCCAGGUCAUUUUAAAGUGACCCGUGCCGAAGGGGUAGUCAGACAGGGCCAGGCCCUGCGCUUCAAGCGAAGUCUCUGUCAGUAAUCCAAUCUCCAGCGUGUCAAAGCUGACGGUGCGGGUGCUGCCGAAAACCAUAUGCUCCGGUGACGGGGGUGACGGCGGCAGCGGCGGGGGUGAAGGCGGCCGGGGCGGGGGCAUGGGGGGUGACGGGGGCGGGGGCGGGGGUGAAGGAGCGCUCCCCGUUUUCAUGGUGAACGAAUCUGCAUAACACAUGUAGAAAUAUUCACGUUACCUCCGGUCAGAGCAGCUAGUGCCCAAUGUACCUGCUGCCUGAUUGACAUUUAGGAAGCCCCACGCACUCACACAUACAUACAACAUAUGCAUGCCAUCUAUCUGGGCAUGCCGCCUGCUGCUACGUGUGUGCUGCGGGGUGCAAGCCCAUGUAUGGGUGGGCCUACGCAUGCAAGCAAUCACCUGGGCCUCCCGGACGGGCAGCCACCCCAGCACUGUACGGUACGCUACACAUACGCGCAUGUCUACCACCGCAGUAUGUUUAUUACCACGUGUGCCGCGCAUACCGCUGCGCUGGGAGAUCUCCGGUGCCCGCGUCGCUUACCAAGCAGUAAUUCGACGCGGUCGCGGCCAACGGCCAUAAAUGUGUAAAUGAAGAUGGCAAACCUGUCAAAUGUAGACCCAGCAUCCCAGCCACAGUCCGCCGGAGUCACCGUAAACGUGAUGGGCGCGGCGAUGUAGGUGAACGUGGUCGGGUUGGGCAAGGGGGUCGGAUCCGACCUCUCCAGCGUCCGUUCGCAGAAGUUGUUGACAUCGCCGGUGUCGUACAGCACAAGGCCCGUGUACGCAAAUGUGGUCCGGUAUGUAAUUGAGAGCUUCCAGAACGUGCUGGGCGGUGACAAUGGCAGGAAGAAGUCCGAUAGUUCAUUCGUAAGGCGCAGGGUCUUGUUGCAGCCGGUGGCAGUCAUAGCCCAACUGUCAUCAGUCGUCCAGCCUGCAGCGCAGUCCACAACCUGUCCCCAUCCGGGCAAGGCGUUGCUUUCGUUUUGGUGGGCCAGGCGAAUGUCUUGUGCCUCCAGCGACGUGAGCGUUAGGCUUCCAAGCGGCAGCGCAUCAAAGCUGACGGUGAGGGUGCUGCCGAAAGCCAGAGGCGCCGGGCUGGGCGGCGCGGGGCUGGGGGGCUCGAGGCUCGGUGGUGCCGGCGAGGGUGGCUCUGGGCUGGGCGGCAUCGGGCUGGGGGGCUCGGGGCUGGGCGGUGCAGGGUUUUGUGGCUCCGGUGACAGGGGCGCCGGCGAGGGAGGAGAGGGCGAGGGCAAGGGAGCCAUGCGCGUUUCCAUGGUGAACGAAUCUGCAUAGGCAAGAAUACACGGAGAGCGGUUUCAUCAGAUCUGUGCACUCAAAUGCGCUUCACAUCAAGAGGGCAUCUAUCCCAGAGCAGCCGAUAGACGCGCUGGACGCGCGCACAACGUGCAAACGGCUGCAGCUGGUGUCGGAGCUGCUGCUUACCGAUCAGCAGCUCGUACACGUCAAUACCACCAGGGAUGUACUCGUUGGGGGGCACAUAGAAGUAAAAAUUGAUGAAGGUUGACCCAGCCGCCCAGCCGCACGCUUCCGGUGUCACUGUCACAGUCUUUGACACGGCGUAGGUGAAUGCGGCUGGUCUGGGCCUGACGAUGGACUCUGUGCCGUUCAGCCGCAAUGUACAAUCCUGCCAGUUAAAAAGCUCCAGUUGCACCGACGGCAGUGUGGUGCGGUACGUCAGGGAGAGGCUGUAGAACCCGUCAUUUGGAGCCCACAGGGGCGAAAACUUGCCGGUAGAACCCUGAUACGGAAAGCGCAGGGUCUGGUUGCAGCCGGCGGCGGUCAUGGUAGUUCCCUCGUAGCUCCAGCCACCGGCGCAAUCCACCACCUCGCCCCACGCAGGCGAUGAAGUAUACAUGUCAGCGUCUAGACCAAUGCCGAGACCCAGAAGCGAGGUGCUGGCAAGAUUGCCAAGCGGCAGCACUUCAAUGCUGACAACGCGUGUGCUCGCUAACAGUGGGAUUGGCGGCGCGGGGCUGGGUGGCUCGGGGCUGGGCGGCCAUGGGAUGGUCCUGGGCGGCGGCGGUGCUGGCGACGGGGGCGGCGAAGGAGCGAUGCCUGUUUCUAUGGUGAACGAAUCUGCAGCAGGAAAUCCAAAACACGCACAGAAGUAAGCUUCCCGUCAGACCCACGACAUGUAUACUCUACCUUGACAACUUGGUGGCGAUCCCCUCCCCUAACCUCACAACGACUUGGCGUGGCCUUGACAUUCAGACUAGCUAUAUAUCCUCCCCUGCUAUGUAUCUAGGCAGACAAAGCAAGUGAUGGACAACUGAACAUGUGACUCAUCACCCCCCAUCCAUGUUUGGUUGCAUACGCUAUCUAUGAUACACCGUAGUUUGAUUUAACAUACUUACAUACACCCCUGCAUGCGCUCCCCCACCCAUAACUUGCUUACCGAUUAGCAACUCGAACACUGGAGCCUCACCCCCCUCCACAUACAUGAAGAGGAAGAAGCUGUUAAAUGUGGACCCGGCAGCCCAGCCGCAAUCAGCUGGCGUCAUCGUCACGGUGUUGGGGCUGGCGGUGUAGGUGAAUUCGGCCGGCUCGGGUCCAGCAAUGGUCUCCGUGGGUUUGAGCACUACCUCGCAGCGGUAGUUGUACUUGACGUCGCCUGUUCUAUAGAAGCCCACUACCAUUCUUGGUGAGGUUGUGCGGUACGUGAGCGUCAGCCUCCAAAACGGGGGGGGCUCAGACACUCUGGACAACGGCCGGAAGGCACUGGAUAAGCCUUCAGGAUCGUAUAGCAAGCUUCUAUUGCAGCCGGCUGCGUUCAUGCGUACUUUGUUUGGCCAACCGGCUGCGCAGUCCACAACCUUGCCCCAGGUCAUGUUUAGGUGGUCGGUGCCAUCAGGGUAGUUGGACAGGGCCAGGCCCUGCGCUUCAAGUGAAGUCCCGGUCAGUGAUCCAAGCUUGAACGUGUCGAAGCUGACGGUGCGGGUGCUGCCGAAAACCAUAGGCUCCGGUGACGGG
rnacentral:lncRNA from 1 species